rnacentral:rRNA from 1 species
ACGGGAGGCAGCAGUGGGGAAUUUUGGACAAUGGGCGAAAGCCUGAUCCAGCAAUGCCGCGUGUGUGAAGAAGGCCUUCGGGUUGUAAAGCACUUUUGUCCGGAAAGAAAUCCUUGGCUCUAAUACAGUCGGGGGAUGACGGUACCGGAAGAAUAAGCACCGGCUAACUACGUGCCAGCAGCCGCGGUAAUACGUAGGGUGCGAGCGUUAAUCGGAAUUACUGGGCGUAAAGCGUGCGCAGGCGGUUUGCUAAGACCGAUGUGAAAUCCCCGGGCUCAACCUGGGAACUGCAUUGGUGACUGGCAGGCUAGAGUAUGGCAGAGGGGGGUAGAAUUCCACGUGUAGCAGUGAAAUGCGUAGAGAUGUGGAGGAAUACCGAUGGCGAAGGCAGCCCCCUGGGCCAAUACUGACGCUCAUGCACGAAAGCGUGGGGAGCAAACAGGAUUAGAUACCCUGGUAGUCCACGCCCUAAACGAUGUCAACUAGUUGUUGGGGAUUCAUUUCCUUAGUAACGUAGCUAACGCGUGAAGUUGACCGCCUGGGGAGUACGGUCGCAAGAUUAAAACUCAAAGGAAUUGACGGGGACCCGCACAAGCGGUGGAUGAUGUGGAUUAAUUCGAUGCAACGCGAAAAACCUUACCUACCCUUGACAUGGUCGGAAUCCCGCUGAGAGGUGGGAGUGCUCGAAAGAGAACCGAUACACAGGUGCUGCA